rnacentral:lncRNA from 1 species
AUGUGUUUUCCAGAAGUGUAAUACUGGCUUCCCCUUCCAUUUUUGUAUCGUAUUAAAAAAUACGUAAAUUCUAAAGUAAGUGUUUAUGAUAAAACAUUCGAUAAUUCACAGAGGUGAAAAGCUACCCCCAGAAUCCCUUUCUGCUUGAAUUCCACGCUCUGGAGAGGACCCUGUGAGGGUCCAGGCACAGCUCUGCCCCCGGCACCCCUCCUCUCUGCUGCUUCCACACUGAAAGGCGGAGGCUCUGCUGCCUGUUUUCUUUUGUUUCUCCCCAUUUUAACUAAACACUAAAGAAAGUCAAGUGUGAACGUCGCGGUCAUUCAUUUCGCCUGUGCCGCACUUUCCUGCCCCGGCGAGCCCUCCGCCAGCACUGACCGGAGGUCGCUUCCUUCAGCUUUCUGGGUUGUCUCACUGGAACAGGGUCAGCCCCAUUCCCUUCCAUCCUGCCCCCUGCCUGGUCUGUAGCCACGUGGUGCCAGGAGUGAGCUCUGCUCUGCUUCAGGAUGACAGGCGUGUGUGGACGUUGGUAAGCCCUGUUGGAAGCCGUGAAGCUUUGGGCACAGCUGAGCGACCGCCGGUGCCUGCCGCGUGCACACCCUCUGGGCCCAGGCCGCAGGGAGGCUUCUCCAGAGGGCGGGUUCCCCACCCUCACACCCAACUGGUCUGAAAGGAUAGAAGCGCAUUAGAGGUGAAACUGGGGCCGUGGAGACAGAGUGGGAAAUGGACUGGGCUUGUCGCUUGUAUUUUACACAUGUCUUUGUUUGUUUGUUUGUUUCCCCUACCUUAAAGUUCAGACCUUUGGGCUCUUGGAUGCAUAAUAUACCAGCUUGUGGCAGGACUCCCACCAUUCCGAGCUGGGUAAGGAGACGGCGUUGCCUGGGCCUUGGAGCCUGUUGGGGUGCACCCCACCGGCCGGCAGUCCCUCCCAGCCUCGAGGUGGGUGGGGAGGGCAGCACGUGGUGCCGUGCCCAGGUGAGUCCGGGGCGCUCAUCCCUGCAUGUGGAGGCUUCUGGGACCCUGCCUGGGAUGACUUUUUUUUUCUUAAAUUUUUACAGAAACGAGUAUCUUAUAUUUCAGAAGAUCAUUAAGUUGGAAUAUGACUUUCCAGAAAAAUUCUUCCCUAAGGCAAGAGACCUCGUGGAGAAACUUUUGGUUUUAGAUGCCACAAAGCGGUUAGGCUGUGAGGAAAUGGAAGGGUACGGACCUCUUAAAGCACACCCGUUCUUCGAGUCCGUCACGUGGGAGAACCUGCACCAGCAGACGCCUCCGAAGCUCACCGCUUACCUGCCGGCUAUGUCGGAAGACGACGAGGACUGCUAUGGCAAUGUAAGCUGGCCAGGAUGGCGGGCGAGGCGGGUGGCACUGGGUCCUCCGUGCACUGGGCUUCAUGCCCGUGUGCCAGACCCACGUGUGAUUUGUAGCCGAAAGGGGAGGGUGUCUGUGCCACUGCGUCAGGCCUGCUGAUGGUUGUAGUCUUUGCUGCCGUGAGGCAGUGGCGGGUGAGGUGCUGGGUGGGUCAUGUUCUCGUCAUUUCCGUGGCCGUGGACAGGCUAGUGAGUUUCCACCCAGAGGGUGCCGCUAGAACCGGACACUGAGCACCCCCGGCACUGGCCCCGGGGUCCCACGUACGGGGCCUCCUGCCCGGCCUGUCGCAUCUGCGCUUGGCUUGGUGCUUGUACAACUGUGUGUCCAAGAUGCUCCAGAACACUGCCUGUCUUUCCACAGAAACGCCCGAGUGUUGUGUGGUUGAACUUUUGGGACGUGGCCUUGGGGACACUGGUACCUUCUGCUUCAGUGCUGAGUAGGCUCUGAGGCUGCUGGUCUCCCAGCUUGACCACAGCCAUGGGGUCUUCAGCACGCUUGGCUCUUUAAGCUUCUCGUAGAGAGCGUGGACCGUGUGCCCAAGGGACCGAGGGUGUUGUGAGAGGCAGGCAUGUCGCCCAGUUCAGCCUUGUUUCCUCUGCGUUCCUCUUGCCACCUCCCCCGUGACCCCCUCGUACUUAAGUACUGUUAUCAUGCGAUCCGUUUUUCUGGUUUGACUUCUGUCUCCAUGGCUUAUUCUAACUGGCACCGUGUACGGAGUUCCACUUUCCAUGACUGAGGAAGUCCAGAUUUUAUUUAUUUGUUUUGAGACAGGGUCUUGGUGUGUAGCUCAGGCUGGAGUGUAGUGGCGCGAUCUUGGCUCACUGCAACCUCUGCCGCUGUGGGUUCAAGCGAUUCUCCUGUCUCGCCCUCCCGACUAGCGGGAACUGCAGGUGCGCGCCACCAUGCCUGGCUAAUUUUUGUAUUUUUAGUAGAGACAGGGUUUCGCCAUGUUGGCCAGGCUGGUGUGGAACUCCUGACCUCAAGUGAUCUACCCGCCUCGGCCUCCCAAACUGCUGGAGUUUUAGGCAUGAGUUACUGCACCCAGCUGGGAAUUCUAGAUUUUAUCUAAAAGUCAUCCACAGCUAAAUUUCUGCUAGUGUCAGUUUCCCAACGCCCCUACCAUGCCCCUGCUGCGUAAUGCCCCUCAUCCUCCCGACAUCCUUUGAGCCCAAACUCUAAGGGAGCCAGGCUUGGGGAGCAGAGUCUGUGCUGCCUGACGUGGCCACCUGAAGCAUUUAGGGACUGCAAACCUCCCUUAAGAGCCUUAAGCGCAGAUUCCACAGGUCCUGCCUCAGGGCUUCCUCAUGGGUGGUCUUCAUUCCUCCAGGAUCCCAGAGGAACCCACAUAUGGGACAUGGCAGCUCAGGACAACACCCAGCCACCUACGUGGGACAGGGCCACGCAGGAUAGAGACAAGGAGACGAGGGCCUCAGAGACACAGGCUUCCCGGCCCCGCAUGGGUCCCGCACAGCCCCCUUCUCCAGCACCGAGGACGUGAGUGGCUGCCUCAGAGGUGGGUUAAAGGUGAGCCUGGGUGGCAGGGCCUUGGUCUGUGUCUAGCGCCUGUUUCUGAGCCAAUCCCACUAGGGGCAGACUGAGAUAAUACGAAGCCUCGACUCGAGCGGCUCCACGACAGAACACAAGCGGCUGCCCAGAGAGAGUACAUGUGAAAGACAUUCCCUGCCAAAGAGACAGGAGUGGGCAUCAUGGCUCACAGCCUCAGAGCAGGGCCAGGGCUGGGCCACAGCCCCCGUCACUCCACACCCCGCGUGAACUCGGAGGAGGCAGGCAGAUGCCGAGGCCCACAGGCCCAGAACAGAAACGGAGUCAGACGUUGCCCAGUGCAGACCGAUGCGCAGACACGGACCUGGGGGAGCAGGGCCACACCCGCACGCAGGUACCCAGAAACCCUCAGCCUUCACGGCGAGGCCUCGGGCUGUUCUGAGCCAAGCCAGCACCGCAGCACACAGGCAGGCCAGCCUGGGCCCAACGCGUGUGGGCGCCGUCCCUGCACCACGACCACUCAGAAUGGAACACGGCAGCUGGCAGCAGCAGGCACAGUCCAGGUGAUGGCACAGA